AAGAAGUGAUAUAUCACCAAUAAGUGGGUAAAUGACCACCCAAGGAUAACCAGCUUUAACGGCUGGGACCCCUUGGGUGUGAUGUAAGCCCUGAAACACGGCCCCCACCAUUAACCCCUCCCCCACC
rnacentral:misc_RNA from 1 species